rnacentral:lncRNA from 1 species
UGAGGAGAGGCAGGAGAAAAUACGGCGCGCUCGGCAUCGUCCUUCUGACCGGGGACUCCAGCAUCUCAGUCAUCGCGUCACCAAGCCCCACGGACUAUGGAAAGACUACAUUUCUCAACCUUCCUAGUAGAUGUGAUGUCACCAGUCGGAAUUGGGCAGAAGAAUGUAUCACUUCAGUCCAAGGCAAUUAAGUCUCCGACCCUCUAGCCAAUAGAUGGCAUCUCCUGCCAGCCAAAUGAGUGAGCCAUCAACAGUAACCUGCCCAGCUGAGUCUUCAGGUAACUCCAGUCCUGGUGUGAUCGCAGUCACAUAAGCCAUUCAAAGUAAGAAUCACCAGUUGAGUUCAGCCAACAGUCAUGGGCAAUAUUAGAAAUCACUGUACUGCCAGGUGCGGUGGCUCACGCCUGUAAUCCUAGCACUUUGGGAGGCUGAGGCGAGCAGAUUGCCUGAGCUCAG